GAUGAACGCUAGCGGCAGGCUUAACACAUGCAAGUCGAGGGGCAACACGGGUAGCAAUACCUGGUGGCGACCGGCGCAAGGGUGCGUAACGCGUGAGCAACAUGCCCUAUACAGGGGGAUAAUCCAGGGAAACUUGGUCUAAUAUCCCAUAGUAUUUAGAGGUGGCAUCACCACUAAAUUAAAGCUUCGGUGGUAUAGGAUUGGCUCGCGUGACAUUAGCUGGAUGGUGGGGUAACGGCUCACCAUGGCGAUGAUGUCUAGGGGUUCUGAGAGGAAGACCCCCCCAACUGGGACUGAGACACGGCCCAGACUCCUACGGGAGGCAGCAGUGAGGAAUAUUGGACAAUGGAUGGAAAUCUGAUCCAGCCAUGCCGCGUGCAGGAAGACGGCCCUAUGGGUUGUAAAACUGCUUUUAUAAUGGGAGCAAAUAAGGUUUACGCGUAGACCGAUGAGAGUACCAUAUGAAUAAAGCAUCGGCUAACUCCG
rnacentral:rRNA from 1 species